UUUUUCAAUAAAGUUGAGUCUGAUUAUAUCUGAAAAAAAAGCCAGGCUGUGCAUUUCUCGUAGGUCUUGCAAGGGUUUAGGCUUUAAAGAACAGUUACUGGCUAUUAACUUCCUACAUUUAAUUGCCACUAAAAACAAUCUCUGUGAAACCUCAUGUGAAAAUGACUCCUCAAGCACCAAUGGUUUGAUCUUCUGAAGCCCAAACUGCUUUGUUUACAGCAACAAAUUCAGAGUCACUCUUCACAUAACUCCACUCCAUCAUGAUGUUAUGUAUUUUGUUUACCAGUAUCAUGUGUGCAUACAUAUAAAAUUAUAUACACAUGCACAUACUGCACAGUUCAUCCUGAGGAUCAGACAAAUGCGAUAUUACCAGCCUUGUUUAUUCAAAACUCACGAAUCACACCUUCAGAAAUCAUGAGACUGGCUGAAAACUACGAGAUGCUAAAAAGAGUCGCUGUGAGAAUCAUGGUAUUCCUCUUCUGGCAUAAGAAGCUUUAGGCUGCGUGCUUUCAGUCUCCCUAGUUCUCCAUAGCAAAGGGUUUAAAAUAAAUUUUUCUUUUAGAAUAUGUAUUUGGCACUUGGAUAAUCACGGGACUGCAGGAGCUGCGGUUUAAAGAAAACACUCACUAACAAAGGACUUCCAGUGGACACAACUCCCAACAUCAUAGGAAUUGUAACGCUUUAAGAUACUGCUGGAAUACUCAAAGCCUGCUCUAAACCACUGCACUGUCCAGCUUGUAUCAGUAAGAACAUUCCUCUCCCAGACAGGCAUGUACCUCUCCUUUUUGCAGGGCAGGGAUCUAUUUCCUAUACGUUUAGGUUCCACUUAGGUGUAGCAUUUUACCAGUAACUGGAACAAUCCGGUGCUGCGCCUUAUGAAAUAUGGAUUUUUCACAAUUUAAUCCUGUCAUUUUGUAACUAUUGUUAUGAGUUCAUUUUUCCUAGGGCAAAGGGAAAAAACAGUUCUUUUUGGGAAACAAAGAUUCUCUUCAUUUUCCUAAAUGAAACACUUAAUGCAACACUUAGAUCAUAAGACCAGUUUUUCCACUUUUUGCCUGAAAAACCUCACAAGGUAACGAAUGAAAAGCCGGCAGUUAAAGAGAGAUGUGUAAAUCUAAUGGGAAACAGCAUGCUUCUGUGAUGCGUUUCUCCUUGAAACCUUACAAAAUACACUAUUCACUGUCAAGGCAUUUCGGUGUUGCAAAAGCUGUUAUUAUAAUAUGGCAAAAAUGACUCGGCGCCAAGAUCCAGCAGCCUCAAGUGAGAGGUCACCUUAAUGAGGAAGAACUGAUUUUGAUGUCUAAAACUACACGGAACUUUUAUACCUCCCAAUUCGCAGAACCCUUUUUGCGCAUCUACCUGUGAGCUGCUGCUCAUGGGCACAGUGUAACGCAGCACACUAGAAAAAGGUGCCUUUCAAGGACUGUAUCAUCUACUGGUACCAAAAAAACUGUUCAAUAAUUAACACAGAGAGUGGAAAUGUGUUUGAGAAGUGAAGUUAGCCAAGCAAGUAAAACAUGUCAGUCGCACAGGCACUAGAAAAGAGCAGCGUGCAACCCUCCGUAACACAAGUUACAGCCAGAACUCUUCCCCAGAUUUUAAAGGCGGGUUAUGCUUUAAAGCUGGGUAGUAGAAUCUGGUCCCUCUUCGGAUGCAAAAUGCUGCUAGAAAAAUACUUAAAUUAAUUGCAUAGCUUAACAGCCCAGUCUGACAGAGACAGUCUUUACACAAAACAGUUACCCAUUGAAGCAAAGUGCUGAGUAAGAGAUGCAGAACUGGACCCACUCUCAUGUAAAUUAUUGUAAUUAAAUAGGUAAUGAAAAACCACUGCUCUUGCACGAAUGAAAUGUGAGACUUCAGCUAAGAGUGUAAUGUGUUUCCAAUUGACUCCUAUAUCAGAUUCGGAGACAGAUGAAAAUGUCUCUCUGCUUGCAUGAGCACGCUUUGGAGUCUGGAGCUGCUCUCUGGGAGUGAUGUCCUCAUCGGGACGUGGAGGGAAAGGACCGGAGAACGGCUCACCCCAGCACUGUGCUGUGCAGGAGCUCCAGGGACCUCGCCUAGGGGAAACAGUUACUGCAGAAUGGCUGUAUCACCUUGCUGGUGAUGUCCAUCCCAUCUGUGUCCCUCAGCUCCCACCAGAACAGGAGGUCAGCACGUGAAAGCCCACCUGCAGGAGAGAGGACUUUCUGGAAGGCAAGUUCAGCCUUGCUAUCUGCGCCUGGCAUGUAGAAUGAAGACUGGAUCGUUUGGAGCAAAGGCCUCCCUGCAGUCACUGACAGCAGGGGGUUUGCAGACAGCUCAGCAGGAUGUCCUGGGACCAGUGCAGCCCAACUGGAAGUACCAGCGAGCUGAAAAACUCCCUUCAGAAGCACUCAGCCAUGGCCUACUGAGGAACUGCAAAGGCCUCGUCUGAGAUGUGCAGAAGGCUCACACCAAUUUAAAGAUGCAUGAAUUCUGCUCUGUCAUAACCAUAUGAUGCCAGAAAGACCUGCUGCUGCUUCGAGUGACCAACUGCUCGUCUGAUGGCAGCUCUGAAGUCCAAAAUGAGAUUCCUCUGCAUAAGGACUGGCUAUUCAGAGAUGCACGUGGAGUCCUGCAACUGCUCCUGAAAUGAGUGGUAACUGACUUCAGGCACCACUGCAAAACACUGCUGGCUCUCCCGGACGCCUUUUUUUAAUUGAAGACGCUCGGAUGUUACAAGGUGCUUCUAACAAGAAGAAUGCAAUGUGCGUCGUACACCGAAGUCAUACUGUAACAGCAACAGAAGCAGCUGUGUUUGCAUUGCCCACUCGCAGGGAGCCAGAGUGCUUGGCUGCUCCUUCCCCGGCAUAAUCCCAUUGAGCCCGGCAGGCUGCGGCCAGACAACGUGUCUGCACUGCUGACGGCGAGCUUCCAUCAGGGAUUUGGACAUCUCCCCGAUCUGAACUCCGCUUGUAAAUAACUGCAGGUGAAAUAUGCACCCGUAAUUACUGUUUUCCUCACAAAAAUGUUGGCAUUUGAUCCUUCCCUUUCUAUUUUUUUCUUCAUUAUAAAGCACAAACAUGAAAAAUAUACCAUCAUACACCGCUCCGUGCGCAGAGACAUUUUACCCUUUAAGCCUCAAAAGGAAUAUCAUGCCCACGUAAAUGACCUAAUUACUGUGUGUGCGCUCAUCAUGUCCCAGGUCUGUGUGCAGAUAUACACAUAAAGGCAAUAGCAGCUUUGGGAAAUAACCUUCCUCAUUAUAAAACAGCCAUAUACAUGUUCUCCUGUGUGUAAAUGUGUGCUGCUGACCGAAAUAUAAUCACACGGCCUUGCUGAUGGGGUAUGGCAAUGGAUGGGGAGUAUGUGUGUGUGUGAAGGAGUUUGGUAAGCUAUGUCUCCUAAAUCACAGAGAGCAUCAAGUCAGUGUGAGUUAGCCUCCUAAAAUCUGACCUUCGUGUUGCCUAUAAUCGUCCUUAAGUUGGACCGUUCAUUGGAGAGCAUAACGCUCUGCCAUAAAGACAACCCGUGCACUUCCUUUUGUUCUGCCAGUGUCCGCAAUCCGGGGAGCUGUUGUGAACACAGCAGUUGCUGUUGGCGGAGGUAGCUGAGCAGUUGUGUCUUUUUCUCCUCUCUUGGCACAUGAAUCGGCGUUCUAAAAAUUCACCGUAGUAAUCACAAAAUGCUGCUGCAGAGAAUGACUUGAUAAAACCUUCUGAGAUUUCAUCCUACCUCGUCCCUUUGUUUCAUAACUAGAAUGAGUAUAAUGAAUGCAAAAACUCGGUGAAUAGAGCUCAGCAGGGCCUACUUUUUUCUCAUGACUCCUGUGAUUAUAAUAAUUUGAUUUUAUAGGUGUCUAUCCUAAGACCCCAGCUAGGGAGCAAUCUUUACUGAGUCAUGAACUUUCACAUCAUUAAAUCUCUCCACAUUUAUUUUAAACAUAUCAGAAGUGUCAAAUAACUUUAGAUGUACUAAAUUUUAUUUGCAUUGGGUGAAAUGAAGUUCAGCCACGCGGGAAAAGAAAUGGGAUCGCUUCCGGAGCGCUCAGGAGGGCGGCUCUGCGCUCGGCUCUGUGCCAUUCGCCCCAUAGGGCGGCACAGCACGUCUCCCAUCUAGGCCAGGACACGUGUUUACAAGGAUGGGAAUCCGAGUAAUUUCCUACCCGUCUGAAGGGAAUAUGAAGGCCUCCUGUCAGUGGGAGGCGUAUUAUUUAUGUUCCUUUUUUUAUUAUUGUUGUUGUUGAUUUCAAAAAAUAUUUCUUUGUUGGUUCAACGCUGACUCCCGAUAGAAAGUGAUGAAAUGCCCAAUAUGUUAAAAAACCUUAUCAGUAAAUCAGAAGCAGAACUAUAAAUUUUGGCUUUUGAAACCGAACUGACUGUUGAGGAUCAUUUUGCUCCUGAAAUAUUACAGCAGUGAUCAAUUUGCUGUAAAAUUAAGCAGUUUAGCUCUGCAAUCUAUAGAUGGAAAACAUGUUGUUCUUGAGCAAAGUUUAUGCCCUGCCCAAGGGAUAAAUUAAAUUUUAUGGGUAAGACAUGCAUUAUUAUAUGCUUAUCUGUUUAACAUAUCAUUCUUUUCCACAUCAGUAUUAUAAAUAUUUUUAAUCAUGCAUUUGAUCUCUUGUGCAAACAGUGAUAUGGUAAUUCCCCCUGCCCCCCUCAAAAAAUAUGACCAAACACAGUUAAUUCAUCACAGAACAGGGGAGAAUAUUCUAAUCUUCCUGAGAAAUAUGCUGAAGAUGAAGGCAGAGGCACUUAAAAUUGGGGCUACUUUCUAAUCAUGGGGUGGAAUGCAGUCUUCCUGAAGGAGAGGUGUAGCUACAUUGCCCAUCUUUAGUGUGGCUGUUAUUACUGAGUAUUUCUAAGUCUCCAACCAGAACCAGGGGCUGCAAUCUGAGACAAUUCACUUUAAAAGUUAGGGAAAGCAGUGAAUAUGCGCCUUUAAUAACCUUGUGACCAGUUCUGUACAUUGCUGAUGGUUUCCUUUGAAAGGUAUGGACUGGAAUCAAAGCUCCUGAGCGGCCGCCGGGUGCCCUCCAACCACUGGCCAGGAUUGUCAGUCAGCUUCACAUGUAUUUUUGUCUUCUUCCACUAAAGGAUAAAGAGGGCAGAUUCAAACCCCAUUGCUGGUUAAUUCAUAUGGCCAGUUUGAAUGGGAAGAGUAAACAGCACGGACGUCUUAACAUAGCUAUCUAUCUGCUCACCAGUUGCCUUCAGCAUCUGUCACGAUGCUGCCAUCGUGAAUACUCCAUGUCAUGUUGUUCUGUGUGGAAUCUCCCCCAUAUGCAAUUCUGAGCUGAAUUACAUGAGAUUCAGCUAAUUUCAUCUGGAACUGUACAACUUCUUGACAGAGCUUUGAAAAUCUAAAGCAUGGGUCCUUGCAGUGUUACCUGCAUGGCUGACAACCCUUCUCUGCCCUUACCACCAGUUUCCUUUCAGUCACACAUAUCAUCAGUCUUCUGCCUUUUGGUGCCUGCGUACCACUGACAUUGUUCCCAGUCCUCUCAGUCUGCUUUGUUUCUUACAUUUUAUUUUCUGUAGCAUAUGCUGCCAUGUUUUAUCCAACAUGACUGCUUUAAACACACACAUCUUAGCCCGUAGUUUAGUCCAUCUAUAAUACGUUUCCAUGUGAAUAAACUUCUUUCCAUUUAAGGUGAGUAUCUUAAUUUUAAAAAAGGGGAGGGGAAAGACAAGGGAUGGGGAGGGUGGGAGAUGCACCUUCCUUCAGGGUGAGUCCCACCCCGCCAUGGAGGAGGUGCCGGGCAAUGCACUGCAGGACACAGGUUGCCUCAUCAGGAAGAUGAGCAUGGCGGGGAUGAGCUGCUGUCUGCACUGCAGCACAGUGGGGAUCCACCAGUUGAUGUUUUGCAGUUCUUGGGAGUUGUAAAGAGCCGUUCAAGUGCUGAGUGUUACCAUUGUUUCAUCCAGCUGCUUUACGCUCAAAAGAGCCACUAUGAGGAGCAGUGCUAAGGUGUCCCUUCUUAUCGGCAUUCUCAGUCACCAUGAGGGGUCUCUGCACUGUGUGUUCUUCUCAGAGUGCUGCUGAGAUGGAAUCGCUGUGGCUGUACAGAUGGGCCAUGCACUGACUUCCGUGGUAAUUUGUUACAACCUUCUCUGAGAACUGGGCUGACUUCCCAAAGGGGCAGAGAAAUCCUUCCUGCUCCUCCCUGCCUCUCGGGCGGAAUGAGACAGAGGAGGUGGUUCUGGACUCCGAUAUCUCACACAACUCAACUACACUUGAUUAUUAUUUGCUUCUCGCAACCUGAAAAGAAACCUACUACCAGAUUUGUCUGUCUCAACCCCGCUGAAGCUGAAUACUUUCAUACAUAUGUAUGGAUAGCUUAAGUUUUUAUGAGCAUAAUUUGGGCUUUUCAAAAUACUGACACAAUAACAAAGCAAAAUUGAGACACGCAUGUAAUUUGAAUACUGAUUUGGUUUUAUCUCUUCCUGGUGCUGGCACUUUUGAUGCUGCUCUUUUCCAUUCCAUCUCCUUUCUGUUCUGAUUUCCCAAUGAAUGGAAUAAGCUGUGAGUGCACUCACUGCUUCUACCAACCAAAUAUGGAACCUGAAGAAAUGUGUAUCUGUGACCUCCCGAAGAGUUUUGGACAAUUACUCAUCUGCUGUUAGCUCUGAGUUUUCUUUUGACUUCUUAAAGAUGUGUUCCCCAUCUCCUUCUCCAAUAGGAAAGUGAGCACUGUCAGACAGCUCUCACUGUGCUUCUUGGCAUUUUCAGUAACAUCAGCCCUGAUUUUUAUGUGCAGCCAUGCAGCAGUGCAAGGAGGUCAUUGCAAAGGAUGCCUUCUGCCUGCACCUCUGGGCAGAUGCCUGCAGUGUUGUAUGCAGACUCAGGCCAGUGUUCACCUUAGAGUGAACAGAAGGCAUUCCACCAACCAUUUACUGGUUCACAACAUUCAAGUCCACGUCUGCCUCUGAUGCUGGGUUUUGCUGUUGUUAAAGGGUUCUCUGUGGGGAUUAGGUCCAAGGAAGCUCUGCCAUAUCUCCUCGCCCUUUGUUGAGGUGUGAGAGUAGCAGGCAAAACCCCAGUCCCACCCCGUCUACAUGAAAGCCCAGAGGCACCUCACAUGCAGCUGCAGCCAGAUUGGAACAGUUUAAUGCUGUGGAGAAUUUGGUCCUAAAAAUUAUUCACAGAAAGUACUCAGUGAAUAAUUUCAAAGAGAAAAUUAAAAAGUGCUCAAGGGCAAUCUAUGAAGAACAGAAAAAGGGGGUUAAAUUCACCUAAUAAAUUAUUUGCAGAUUGAAUAAUUCAUGGAAAAUACAAGCCACAUAUAGAAGGGUUUGAUUCAGAAUGUCAGCCUACUCUGCAAAGCGCAGCUACCUCAGAACCUGCCUCUCUCAGGCACCAUGUUGGUGUGUUACCACAGCUGAGUUCCCAUCUGGAGUCAGAUGAGCAGUUCCAGCUUUGCGUACCCAAUGCCCAGCAGCACUUGGUGUCGGAGGGAUUUCUGCAAGGAAGGUCUUGUAAGUGGUUUAUUCCACCCCUGUCUAUUGUGGACUUCUUGCAUUGGGCAGAAACUGGCGUACAGCUUUCUUCAUAGCCAUACUCCCAGCCUGGCAGAUAUUUCCCUGUGUUUAAACUUUCAGAAUUUGAGCAGAGCUUUGCUCAGUUGUUUAAAGUUAAACACAUACGUAGACUGUGUGCAGAACUACACAUGUGUAUCAUAUGCUGAUUGCCUUAUCAUUUGACAAAUUGCUGUGUCCUGGACCUGCAGACUUAAAACCACUCUUAUAUAAAUGUAAAUGAACAUCUAAAACCUUCCUGAGAGCUGUUAAACUCUUGGCUUUGUCUCGUGGCAGAGAGUUGUGCUCAGCACAACACUUCUAACCAUGAUAACAUUCUCAAAAUGUUUAUGAAAACAGGUGAAAGCAUGAGGACAUGCAACGGAAAGCCCAGCAUUUUCAUACGUAAAGUAGGCAACCAAAGAAGCAUAUGAGAAUUCGUACAAAGAGAUUUUAAAAGAAAUUUAAUGAUAGACUUCUUAAACUCCCAAAUCGCUGUCGGACAAUAUAUAUGUUCAAAAACCUAUAAAAAUAUUUUAAAACAAUGUAUUUUCCUUUCCCUUGGCUGCCAAGAUCUCCAUUAGGAGGUUUGUGUUUCCUUCCAGCAUUAAAGAAUAUCUCUAACAUCUGUAGCAAUGAGCGGUGAGGAGUGUCAGUUCUGCUUCGGAAAGAAGCGGUGCCAUUUGGAAGGGGAAGAGGCGAUGAUGACUGCGCCUCUGAGAGCAGCCUGCUGUGCAGCAGGAGGUGUGCAGGGCCUCUUGCAGGGCUGCGCUUUCCGAGUUUGUUCUGCACACCUCUGAGGGACGCAGUCAGGUACGCAGGGCUUGGCCAGUGGGAAAAGCACUGCUGGGAGGUGCUGAGCCCAGCCUGCAUGCUGCUGAACACUGCUUGUGUGCUCCCCUGCCUGAUUUCCGGGUCAGAAAUGUCAUAUGAUCUGCAGAACUGACAGAGCCAGAGCAGUUCACAAACACUUCCCAGCAAAGUGACCUCGCCCUGAAGAAGGAAACACAACCGAUUCCCACCAGGAGUUUGGAACUGUGCAAACAGUGCCCGACGUUCUGAGGGAGCUGAGUGUGAUUCUCCUUCCUAACACUGCACCAUCUCUGUUUAGCAUGACGGCUCUCACAGAUAUUCCAGGUGUUCCCUAAUUUUAAGUGGAAAAUUCCCUUGAAUUCUGCAGGAAAUAAAGCAGCCAGGGGAUCCUGCCCCAUCCUUAAGGAGCCACGUAAACAGGCGUGAGUGACACUCAAGCUUAAAGACAACCAAAAGGGGAAAAAAAUGACAAAGUUUCCAAAACCUUUUGGGUGCACCUCAGUCUCAGAGCUGCACUGCCCAGCUGUGCUUCCCUAGAAAUGCCUGUGGGUGCCAGCAGUUGGGACAGCAGUUGGCAGUCGUAGCAGCAGAGGUGUGCACACGUAUUGCCCACAAAGACACGGCUGCUGCAGGGGCUGUGCCUGCAGGGUUUGUGAUGGGACUCCUGAUGUGUGUCAGAGACAGAGGCUGAAAUCCACGGUGGCUGAAAGGAAAGAUAACGCACUGCUCCUCGACCUGAACUGCAAUGGGAAGGGGGAAAUAUCAGUGUUAAUCUUGCUACUCGAGCCUGAAUCUAUGUUAUAUUUUGCUUAACUUUUCCGGCUUGUUUGUAAUUCUGUCUAUAAUAAACGUAUGGCUUUAUAUUUAUUAUCUGCAUAUAGGCUGACUCAAAAACGUGAAUUCAUCCUUAAUUAUUUUUUGUGUGUUAAAGUUACACCCUCAGUGUUAUUUUAACGUAGGGCUUUUUUGUAAUGUAAUGAUAUUUAAUUUGCAUUAGCACAAGUGACAUACAAUAGAUCAUGCUAUUAUCAUGAUUGAUAUCAGAUGAACGGGCAUAAAUUCAACAUUAUAAAUUGAGCCUAUAAAUGAAACUAUUAUUUUACAGGAAUUACUGUAGUAGAAAGGCUAAGGACCCUCAAGUCAACCUUAGUCAAACCCACUCUUUAGACUUUUAUAUUUUAUGCCUGCAAUAAAUGCUUUCGUGAAAGCCCAUAACCGGCAAAAAAAAAGUCAUUGGAAGUCUAUUAAUUAUAAUAAUACCAUCCAAAAAGCUGCGAGGGCUUAUUUUUGUGACAUCACUCUUUGAUUUCUUACUGCCUUAAAUUAUCCCUUUGUUGGCUGGGUGAGGGUAACAGUCAUACUUUUGUCAUUAAAUAUAAGGAGUUUUAAAGCCUGAUCCACCUUAGCUCUAAUUGAUAUUGCUUUCAUUUGGCAGAUAGUGACCUGAUUUAUAAUUUAAAUAUGCAUCAUUAUGUGCACCUCUUCUGUAUAAUGAAAAAGCGAAGUUACUCUCAUCUUUUCCUGCAAUGUUAACAUCAAGGAAAAGUAUCUUUCUUUUUUCCCUUUUAUACUCAGAGCCUAAUUGAAAACUGUUCAUUGAAUUUCAACAUGAUAGAAAAGUCUUUUUAUCUCUCAAUUUGUCCAUUAGCUAUUAUAAUUGAAGUAUCUGCUACACGGCUGAAUUGAUAUUGUUCUUGUUUAAAUUCUGGAUUUCUCUAAAUCUCCUAUGAGGCAUCAACUAAAAAAAUGUGGGUUAGGAGACACCAGCUAACAGUGCUGCCGAAAUGGGGCGUUAGGCGAGCACUCCACGUGUGUGCAGCUACAGAAAGUAGGAAGUCAUCUAAUUUUACUGGAGAACGUGUUGCAUAAUAAUCCUAACAGCAUGACCAUAAGGUUUGCUAAUUGCCACAUCUGUUUAACGGCUGUCAGAUGUUUGCCAUAUGCUGCCAUCAAUAUUACAGCAGAGUACAUUACGGGGAGUUUUAUUGUGUUCGACUGUUAUUUAUUUGCCACAGACAUUACUGCAGCCAGUGACGUCUAUUUAUGUUAGAUCACUAAUUAUAUUUUAAAAGCUGCAUGUAAAAUCCCUGUUUUCCAGCUUCCUUAGGCCCUAUUUCUGAUGAUGUAACCAAUAACUUUUUCCUUACAGAUCUCUGGACUGAUUUAUAAAUUUCUCUCUCCGUCUGGUAAAUAAUUCUUCAGUAGAAUAACUUAUUUAUGCUGUUUUUGAAGGGUAUUUCUGUACCCAAGUUAGCUUCUAAUGGUGUUGUUUGUAGGAGCUCAGAAAUAACUUUCUUUUUCAAAGAGCCCACUUCACCCCAUGCUUUUUUUCAACGGUACACGGAUCGUGGGUGGAAGAUAAUUCAGUGCUCACAGCUAGGGAUGCUGGGUACCUUCAUUCUAAGCCCAGCCUGCCCUGUACCCACCACAUGACCUUGAUUCCUUACAGGACCUUAAUUCUCAUUUGCCAUUCUGUAAGCUAAUAGCUUCUGCACAGCCGUACUGUACCUACAGAGCAGUACCUACAGAGCUCACCCAUUGAACGCCUGUAGGGAGCACCAGGUGAUGCAGCAGUGCUACCAUUAAGGCACAGAAAUAGGGCUCAUCUCCGCUGGUCUUUUGAACAUUCUUUCUUGCUUUCUUUAAAUGACCUUUCAAUCGGUCUCUGCAUUGCUUUUGCGUUACAUGUAGCUGCUGCAGCAGUGAAAUAGGAAGCAGGGAUUGACAAAGUGCAGACUAGGCAAAAUAUGCGUGAUGUGAUUUAAUAUGAGUUGAUAGGUGUCACUGAUCUCUAUUAUAAAUAGACUGUGUGAAUUCCAUAUGAUGUAUUAUUUAUCUAUUGUAGAUGCCUUUUUGUUUCAUUAAUAAAGCUGGAAAUCAGACAUAUACGUUUCCAAUGAUGAGUUUUUGGCAAUACAAGGCAUCGUGGUAUUUGUCUGCAAUUGCUCAAUUAUUUUGAUGAUUUUCUUCUUCUUUCCCCAUAAAUGAUUAAUGCUUGAGAUGUUUUCUCAAGAUUCUUCUGAUUUUAGCUCAUUUGUCCAGCUGAAGUCUUUUUUCCCUCUCUGAUGAAAGGAGAUUACUGCAGUGUAAGGACGUACACUUUGACCUGAGCUGUAGCUCCUUUGGAGCGCUGUGCUGUAGCACACAGCAGAGGUCCUCUGACUGAGGUCUGUGAGGUUUGGUAACUCCAGCAAAACUCACAUCAGCAAUGCGCAUUCAGUUUAAAUCUGCUUCAAAGCAGAAACUCAUUUGCUCUUGUUCUACCUGCAGUUAAAAACGUUCCCCAGGUAUUUCUGUGCUUGAGAGUGUCCAUCGCUGCUUACAUAGGUAGGAAAGACUUCACAUUUCAAAACCCUGAAGCGAGCCGUAAGAAGCAGCCAGCAGUGCCUCCUGCCUACUCUUUCUGAAGAUGCUCAAGCCAAGAUAUCCUUGAGGACGUCAAAGCUUAAAACAAAAGGCAGAACUGGGGGUGGUGCCGGGCGCAGGACACAGCCCUCGGCCCUGGGGGGACAGAUGGCAGCGGCACCGGCAGCGCUGCCCGCAGCAGGAGGUGCUGCGCUCCCCUGAGGUCUGCCUUCCGAGAACACCUCCAUCGUAACUGAAAUGCGUCUGCCUUCUGCAUUUGAUCUCCUUAUUUUCUUCUCAUAUGCCUUUUUAAUGCUGUUUGUAGCCAUUUCAAUUAUGUGAUUUCCUUAUCUGUAUACCAUUGAGAAUACUGUACAAGACUUUAUAAACAGCUACUAAGUCUAUCUGCCUGUCAUUUGGUUUUCAUUACGCGAGAUAACAAUCCUUCUCAUAUCUUAUAAGAAGAUAUAAUGUGAUUGUUUCUAAACGGAGAGGGGAAAAAAGUCUAGUCUGCAUUAUACUUAGCCUGGUAGUGUUUGUAAUGUUAGUGGUGUCAGCACAAUCUCCGACAUUUUUUCCUUGCUGUGGUCCGGGAAGAAUUAUCUCUCUGUUUUUUUUUGUGUUUGCUGCUAUCUACUCUUUUUCUCCAUUUUAGACACAGUGAGUUUCUUAUCUGGAGCGUGGUUACGUGGCCACGGAUUUGCCUGUAUUCAGUCUGAUCAUUCCUAACUGUUUCGUGGGGCUGAUACACUGAAGGGAAGGAUGAGAGGCAAUUGUCAACAGCUCACUGUAUUAAAUAUGGAUAGAUAUUAUUCAUGUAAUUUGACAGUUCUUGACUUUCAGCUGUAUAAUGACAGUGAAACGGUAGGAAUUCCAGCAGCCGAACUUCUGUCUUACUUCAAGAUAAGCUUAUCAACUGUAGCCUGAAUCCAUUCAACUCAUAAGCAGAUCAAAACUCAUGUCAUGCUGAACUGCGGCACUGAUUCCUGCUUCCUACUAUUGCUUUACUUGUCCAUAUGGUCUUAGUUCUGUUUGCCAUCUUACAGUUACUUUGAGAGGUUUUUGGGAGACCGACUGUCUCAUGUAUUUGUUCAGCACCUUGUACAGUGAAGCCAUGGAUCUUGCUCAAUGCCACCAAAUGCCCAAGUAACAUAAAUACUAUGUAAUGAAGUGAUAAUAGAUGAUGGUCAGCCCUUGGGUUUUCUUCUCUCUUCAUCAGUUACACACUUGAAUUACAAAGAGUGGUUGCUUUGUUUGGUCUCCCAUUUAACAUGAAACAACACCCUGGAGUUUAUCUUAUGCUAUUUAUCCCAGAACUUCAGUGGGAUCCCUGCAAAUAUGCAGGAAUUGUGCAUUUCUUUCACCAUUUGUGCAGCACGGUGUGGCAGCUGCAGACUAAACAACGUCUUUAGGUUAAGGAUUGAUCAAGUGUCUGUGGAGUUUCCAUGCUCCAUUACGUGCCUUCCAGAUUACAGCACUGCUUCCAAACCGGUGGGAUUUGGUGGGGGAGGAAUGGUGCGUUGUAGAAUUUUUGGCAGCCAAGCAUUCAACUCCAAAAUAAAAAAAUAAAAAAUAUUAAUACUUAAAAAAAACCCCUUGAGUUGUAACAGCGAAUGUGAAAUCUCUCUCCUGUCAUCUCCACCUUCAUUUUCUUCUCUGCCAGCUCACUGGAGUUUUAUCUCAUGGGCUGUGAACUCCUCCAGGCUAGGCCUGUCUUCCUGGUUCUGUCUGUGCAAUGAAGAGCAUAAGAGCACAUAAGAACAUACAGAUGUGGUUGCUGGCUCGGGCCGUGGGCUGGUGUCCUAUCUGCCAUCAGCCUUCAUCCGCCUGCCAGUUUUUCCAUCAUCCAACCUCCUGCUGGAAAUACGGCAUGCUGAUGGGAGCCAAUCGCUGCAGACUUCACCAGAACAUUUUCCAAACAGUUAUGUUUAUUAAUUCAUCAUUGAUGUGUUUUUCUUCUCCCAAUUCUUCUGCUCUCUCCUCCAGUGCCCUGCUGAGCAGCGGCAAACAAAAAAUGAUCGCUAUUGGAAUAAGUGAUGAUAUGGAAGUUUUGCAAUUUCUUAACGGUAAGAAAUCCUCAGCUAUUGGACUUCUUCUAUAAUAUGUGAGAAGAAAUACGACUCCAGGUUUCACUAUGAAAUGCAUGCCUCAGUGGCUCAGUUUAUGCAUUCAUAAUUAUAUUUACAAUUAGAAAUAAUGUAAUCGGGAAUAGAUUUUUUUUUACUGGCUGACUGCACAAAAUGAG